rnacentral:lncRNA from 10 species
CUCAGAAGGCAUGGCAGAGUUGAGCUGUCUCAGCCAUUGUGUGCCAGGGAAGCAUCACCUAGAGGUUUGGAGCAAAAUUGAGAGUAGGAUCAUUUGAAAUCAACAGGGUACAAAGUAAGCAGAGUAGCAUAGCUCCCAGCGGCACACUACUCGCUGCAUGACCCACAUUUAAACAGCAGCUUCCUGCUGAAGUCAGGCCAUAAAGGGAUGCCUGAAGGAAUCCUGAACAGGACAGGGAGGAAAGGUGGGAAAGAGAUGAAUACACAGUGUCUGGAGUUAAUAAACUUCAUUUCCUCCUAAGGCUCAUGGCCAUGGGGUAGAAAGAAGAAGGCUGAAGGCAAAGGGGUACCAAGGAAUAAAAGAUUGAUGAAGGCUGUGUUAAAGAAGUGGUGUUCCAGCUGAGCCUGAAAGCAAAGGUCAAGUUUGAAUUGAUAGAGGUGAGAAAAGAAGACAUUCUAGAUGAGAAGGGCAACGUGAGGCAACGUGAGGAAAAUCCUAAGGGUGAAAGUAAGCAGGGUUCCAGGGAUACAUGUGCAGGUUUCUUACAUGGGAUACAUUGCAUGUCACUGAGGAUUGGUGUACAAUGAUCCCGUCACCCAGAUCUGCUCUGCACCCUUUCCAUCUGUCCUCAGCCAGGAAAACUGACCUAUAAGGACCAUAUCACCUGGGUUCCUGUGACUUCUGGCUUCGAGUUGAAGACCGUCAAUGGGGAACAUGAUUAGCAGACUGGGGCAGAGGACAAGGAAGAAGAGUAAGGGUGGGGUAUUUAUUACUUUUGAUAUCCGUCUGCAAUGUUGUCUUGGGCUGGGCAUGCCCCUUGACUGAAGCUCUCUAUCCUUCCAGGUUCAGGCAACUGACUCCUCUCGCUCAUUUCUUCAAGCCUAGGAAUGUUCCACCUGUCUCCAAGUUCCUGCAUUUUCCCUUGUGGUAAUGCUAUAUUCACACUCAACCUGUUGUAAAUAAAUCCUGAUUAAAAUCACCUUGAGUGUACUUUCCGUUUUCAGAUGGAACACUGAUUGACAGAACCAUUCACACCCCAGUCAUAAAUCAGCCCUAGAUUUAAUAUGAGUCUAUCUUCU